rnacentral:rRNA from 1 species
CGGCACGGGUGAGUAACACGUAUCCAACCUGCCGUCUGCUCUUGGCCAGCCUUCUGAAAGGAAGAUUAAUCCAGGAUGGGAUCAUGAGUUCACAUGUCCGCAUGAUUAAAGGUAUUUUCCGGUAGACGAUGGGGAUGCGUUCCAUUAGAUAGUAGGCGGGGUAACGGCCCACCUAGUCAACGAUGGAUAGGGGUUCUGAGAGGAAGGUCCCCCACAUUGGAACUGAGACACGGUCCAA